rnacentral:rRNA from 1 species
GAUGAACGCCGGCGGUGUGCCUAAUACAUGCAAGUCGUACGCACUGGCCCAACUGAUUGAUGGUGCUUGCACCUGAUUGACGAUGGAUCACCAGUGAGUGGCGGACGGGUGAGUAACACGUAGGUAACCUGCCCCGGAGCGGGGGAUAACAUUUGGAAACAGAUGCUAAUACCGCAUAACAACAAAACCACAUGGCUUUUGUUUGAAAGAUGGCUUUGGCUAUCACUCUGGGAUGGACCUGCGGUGCAUUAGCUAGUUGGUAAGGUAACGGCUUACCAAGGCAAUGAUGCAUAGCCGAGUUGAGAGACUGAUCGGUCACAAUGGAACUGAGACACGGUCCAU